rnacentral:rRNA from 1 species
UCGGGAAUUUUGGGCAAUGGGCGAAAGCCUGACCCAGCAACGCCGCGUGAGGGAUGAAGUAUUUCGGUAUGUAAACCUCGAAAGAAUGGGAAGAAUAAAUGACGGUACCAUUUAUAAGCUCCGGCUAACUACGUGCCAGCAGCCGCGGUAAUACGUAGGGAGCAAGCGUUGUUCGGAUUUACUGGGCGUAAAGGGCGCGUAGGCGGCGCGGUAAGUCACUUGUGAAAUCUCUGUGCUUAACUCAGAACGGCCAAGUGAUACUGCUGUGCGAGAGUGCGGAAGAGGCAACCGGAAUUCUUGGUGUAGCGGUGAAAUGCGUAGAUAUCAAGAGGAACACCUGAGGCGAAGGCGGGUUGCUGGGCCGACACUGACGCUGAUGCGCGAAA